ACUACGGGUGGCAGCAGUGAGGAAUAUUGGUCAAUGGACGAGAGUCUGAACCAGCCAAGUAGCGUGAAGGAUGACUGCCCUAUGGGUUGUAAACUUCUUUUAUAAAGGAAUAAAGUGAGGCACGUGUGCCUUUUUGUAUGUACUUUAUGAAUAAGGAUCGGCUAACUCCGUGCACGCAGCCGCGGUAAUACGGAGGAUCCGAGCGUUAUCCGGAUUGAUUGGGUUUAAAGGGAGCGUAGAGUGGUUGUUAAGUCAGUUGUGAAAGUUUGCGGCUCAACCGUAAAAUUGCAAUUGAUACUGGCAGUCGUGAGUACAGUUGAGGUAGGCGGAAUUCGUGGUGUAGCGGUGAAAUGCUUAGAUAUCACGAAGAAAUCCGAUUGCGAAGGCAGCUUACUAAACUGCCACUGACAUUGAUGCUCGAAAGUGUGGGUAUCAAACAGGAUUAGAUACCCUUGUAGUC
rnacentral:rRNA from 1 species